rnacentral:rRNA from 1 species
GACGAACGCUGGCGGCGUGCUUAACACAUGCAAGUCGAGCGGAAAGGCCCUUCUGGGUACUCUAGCGGCGAACGGGUGAGUAACACGUGAGUAACCUACCUCGAACUCUGGGAUAAGCCUGGGAAACUGGGUCUAAUACCGGAUGUUCAUCUCCUGCUGCAUGGUGGGGGAUGGAAAGUGUUUAUCGGUUCGGGAUGGGCUCGCGGCCUAUCAGCUUGUUGGUGAGGUAAUGGCUUACCAAGGCUUUUACGGGUAGCCGGCCUGAGAGGGCGACCGGCCACACUGGGACUGAGAUACGGCCCCCACUCCUCUACGAGGCAGCAGUGGGGAAUAUUGCGCAAUGGGCGGAAGCCUGAGAUCCCACCAUGCUGUGAGGGAUGACGGCCUUCUGGUUGUAAACCUCUGUCACCAGGGACGAAGCUUUUGUGACAGUACCUGGGGAAUAACCGCCCGGCAACUACAUGCCACCAGCCGCUGUAACACGUAGGGCGCGAGCGUUGUCCGGAAUUAUUGGGUGUCCAGGGCUCUUAGGCGGAUUGUCUCCUCAAACGUGAUAUUCCGGGGCGCGACUCCGGACUUGCUUUCAAUACGAAAUUGCUAUAGAUACGGAUGGGAGAAUGGAAUUCCUGGUGUAGCGGUGGAAUGCGCAGAUAUCAGGAGGAACACCGGUGGCGAUGGCGGUUCUCUGGGCCUUACCCGACGCUGAGGAGCGAAAGCGUGGGGAGCGAACAGGAUUAGAUACCCUGGUCGUCCACGCUGUAAACGUUGGGCGCUAGGUGUGGGAGUCUUUUGUGACGUCCGUGCCGUAGCUAACGCAUUUAGCGCCCCGCCUGGGGGGUACGGUCGCAAGACUAAAACUCAAAGGAAUUGACGGGGGCCCGCACCAGCGGCGGAGCAUGUUGCUUAAUUCGAGGCAACGCGAAGAACCUUACCUGGGUUUGACAUGUGGGUUAAUCCGGCAGAGAUGUCGGGUCCUUUUGGGAACUCAUGCAGGUGGUGCAUGGCUGUCGUCAGCUCGUGUCGUGAGAUGUUGGGUUAAGUCCCGCAACGAGCGCAACCCUCGUCCUAUGUUGCCAGCACGUUAUGGUGGGGACUCAUAGGAGACUGCCGGGGUCAACUCGGAGGAAGGUGGGGAUGAUGUCAAGUUUUCAUGCCCCUUAUGUCCAGGGCUGCAAACAUGCUACAAUGGUCGGUACAAUGGGCUGCGAGACCGUGAGGCGGAGCGAAUCCCUAAAAGCCGGCCUCAGUUCGGAUCGGGGUCUGCAACUCGACCCCGUGAAGUUGGAGUCGCUAGUAAUCGCGGAUCAGCACACGCCGCGGUGAAUACGUUCCCGGGCCUUGUACACACCGC